CAGCCGCCGCGGUAAUACGAAGGGGGCUAGCGUUGUUCGGAUUUACUGGGCGUAAAGCGCACGUAGGCGGAUCGAUCAGUCAGGGGUGAAAUCCCAGAGCUCAACUCUGGAACUGCCUUUGAUACUGUCGAUCUGGAGUAUGGAAGAGGUGAGUGGAAUUCCGAGUGUAGAGGUGAAAUUCGUAGAUAUUCGGAGGAACACCAGUGGCGAAGGCGGUUCAUUGGUCCAUUACUGACGCUGAGGUGCGAAAGCGUGGGGAGCAAACAGGAUUAGAUACCCCUGUAGUCCCUGUCUCUUAUAC
rnacentral:rRNA from 1 species